UACGAAGGGGGCUAGCGUUGUUCGGAAUCACUGGGCGUAAAGGGUGCGUAGGCGGAUUCUUAAGUCAGGGGUGAAAUCCCGAGGCUCAACCUCGGAACUGCCUUUGAUACUGGGGAUCUUGAGUCCGGAAGAGGUGAGUGGAACUGCGAGUGUAGAGGUGAAAUUCGUAGAUAUUCGGCGGAACACCAGUGGCGAAGGCGACUCACUGGCCCGAUACUGACGCUGAGGCGCGAAAGCGUGGGGAGCAAACAGG
rnacentral:rRNA from 1 species